rnacentral:rRNA from 1 species
AACGAACGCUGGCGGCAUGCCUAACACAUGCCAGUCGAACGAGACCUUCGGGUCUAGUGGCGCACGGGUGCGUAACGCGUGGGAACCUGCCCUUAGGUUCGGAAUAACUCCCCGAAAGGGGUGCUAAUACCGGAUAAUGUCUUCGGACCAAAGAUUUAUCGCCUUUGGAUGGGCCCGCGUUGGAUUAGCUAGUUGGUAGGGUAAAAGCCUACCAAGGCGACGAUCCAUAGCUGGUCUGAGAGGAUGAUCAGCCACACUGGGACUGAGACACGGCCCAGACUCCUACGGGAGGCAGCAGUGGGGAAUAUUGGACAAUGGGCUAAAGCCUGAUCCAGCAAUGCCGCGUGAGUGAUGAAGGCCUUAGGGUUGUAAAGCUCUUUUACCCGGGAUGAUAAUGACAGUACCGGGAGAAUAAGCUCCGGCUAACUCCGUG